rnacentral:rRNA from 1 species
AUUGAACGCUGGCGGCAUGCUUUACACAUGCAAGUCGAACGGUAACAGGCCUUCGGGCGCUGACGAGUGGCGAACGGGUGAGUAACGCAUCGGAACGUGCCCAGUCGUGGGGGAUAACGCAGCGAAAGCUGUGCUAAUACCGCAUACGAUCUGCGGAUGAAAGCGGGGGACCUUAGGGCCUCGCGCGAUUGGAGCGGCCGAUGUCAGAUUAGGUAGUUGGUGGGGUAAAGGCCCACCAAGCCAACGAUCUGUAGCUGGUCUGAGAGGACGACCAGCCACACUGGGACUGAGACACGGCCCAGACUCCUACGGGAGGCAGCAGUGGGGAAUUUUGGACAAUGGGGGCAACCCUGAUCCAGCAAUGCCGCGUGAGUGAAGAAGGGCCUUCGGGUU